UUUUUUACAAAUCGAAAUGAUCUGAAAGUUGGAACAUGUGUUAAUAAAAAAUAGGUGAAUCUACGAAAAAUAUCAAAAAAAUAUUUUACAUAAAAUAAAUUGACCAAAAUACCCCCGAAAAGUUUCAAGAGUAUUUUGGUCAAUUUUUUUGGCUAAUUUUUUUUUUAUAUUUUUAUUAGGUGUGUCUCACUAAGAUGUACACACGUUCCAAAAUUCAGAUCAUUCCGAUUUGUAGAAAA
rnacentral:pre_miRNA from 1 species